UACAGAGGUCUCAAGCGUUUGUUCGGAUUCAUUGGGCGUAAAGGGUGCGUAGGCGGCUUGGCAAGUGGAUGGUGAAAUCCCUCGGCUUAACCGAGGAACUGCCGUCCAAACUGCUUCGCUUGAGACCGGGAGAGGUGAGUGGAAUUCCCAGUGUAGCGGUGAAAUGCGUAGAUAUUGGGAGGAACACCAGUGGCGAAGGCGGCUCACUGGACCGGUACUGACGCUGAGGCGCGAAAGCGUGGGGAGCAAACGGGG
rnacentral:rRNA from 1 species